GGGGCUGUAGCUCAGUGGUAGGGCAUUUGCCUUGCAUGCAUGAGGCACUGGGUUCAAUCCUCAACACCA
rnacentral:tRNA from 1 species